UUGAAGACUUAUCUAAGAAUGUGUUAUAUACUUUCCUAACCUUGUCAGUCAUAAAAUACUUAUACAUAAAAUAUAAAAGAACAUCAUAUUUUCAAGUCUGGAAUAAAAUUUAUACUUUUCUAUGUGAGUUUUUAAGUAAGUUUAGGAAUAAAGAACUAGGCAGAGGGAGGGGGGUCUCCUUUCCUGAACUAUUCACAGUUUAAUGGUUAAUUAAUGUCACUAAAAAGAAAAUUAAUUUUUGCUGGUCCAACAAAAGAAAGAAGCAGAAAAUAAAAAGUCAGGCAAUAUAAGUACUGCAAUAUACAGUCUUCUAUCCAUAUCCAGUCUGUUAAAAUCAGCAUGAUUCACAAAAUUCCUACUUAACAUUAAAAAGAGCCAUAAAAAACCCAUAAAAUAUCAGCUGCACUGCUGCAAUUUUUCUUACUACCUAGUAUACAUUAUUUUGAUAUCCAAAAUAUUAUUACUGGACCUAAAGCCGUUUGUUGAUUAGGAUAGGCUUUUACUGUUGACUAAUCAUUUAGCUCACAGUCUUGGUAACAGGCUAUAUAUAGACUUACAUUUGCUAUUUUUCCUAUUAUAGCACACUAUGGUAAAAAUAAACCAUGGAUACAGAGUUGCUAUUUACAGUUGACCACAGAAGAUAUUCUGGUCUGUACUACAGCUGCAUUGAUUGUGCUCAUGGGAUCUACAGAUUGACAUUAAUGUCCAAAAAAAAAAUCAUUUUGGAUUGUGAAACAAUUACUGUUGUUGUGGUAAUACUGGGGGCUACUCUGGAUUCUCUUCUGCACAAAAAUAUUCCUUCUCUUUCUGAGAGCAACCAUCUGCUUUCCAGUGUGCAAAGAAGUGUGCUCAUGCCCUGGAGAAUAAAUAAAUAACGUUUAACCAGCAAGCCUUGAUGCCUGCAGUUGGGGUGGAAACUAGUAUCAAUAACAAAAGAAAGAUUGAAUCAUCAGUACUUGAUGAAGCAAGUACUGCAUGAAACCAGCUCCAGCUGGGUGAGUACACACAGCCUUAUGCCCAAGGCUUCCACCACCAUGGUGGCUGGAUUUUCUCCUGUCUUCCUUUAGCUCCUGAGCUGAGAAUUUUAAUAAUACAUGGCAGAAAUAUUUAGGGAAGAUAAGGAUUUUUAUUUUUUGUACAAUUUUUAGGGAUAAAGAUUUCAAGAGGCUAACAAAACCCAUUCUUUCAGAUUCAAAGGAGGGAAGUUUCCUUGCCCUUGUGGGCAUUUCACCUAAGUGCUGGAAGAGAAGUAUCAAUAUAUGUGAUGCCAAAUGACAGAAUAAGAAAAAAGGAGAACUCAACAACCUGAAAGCACAUUUCCUAGGACAGGAAAGCUACUACAGGACCUGCUCGUUAGGAGCUGGAGGAGGCCUCAUUGCUGUUAUUUAUUUUCCUCAGCCUCAAAAAGGUUUGUUUAAUCAACAAAUGAAUGUAUCAGGCAGACCUGCAGCCCAUAUUUCCCCCCUAGCAGUUGGCUCAGAGAUUGCAAACUUCAUGAUCCUUUCGGCCUGAGGCAGCUGCAGAACUUCAUGGGAGCUGUACCCCCCCUUUAACUCAGCAGUGUAAUCUGCAAGCCCACGGCCCUGCAGCAGGCAGGCAGCCCUGAAGCCCUGCCGACCUUCACCUGCAGAUGUCCUUUGACACGUCUGCCAAGAGAGGUAAAAUGCCACCCCCAGAGUGGAAGCAGAGCCCGUCAA